GCAGUUUAGAUGAGGAACAGGGCUAGCCAGGUAUCCAGAAAUGGUGGGGUGAGGGGUUGCAGGAAAUGUCCUCCGGGCCCCAGUCCUCGCCUGUUUCACUGGUGGCAGGGAGUUUGGUCCGCUGGUAUAUGGUGAGCCAUCAUGGUGAGCCUUGACAUAGGCCUAGCCAUGAUUGAACUUUGAGUCAUCUCGCCGGCACGAACGUGCUGUCGCCCCUACCAACGGGCAAGUUCAGCUGGUAGCAGAUGUAACCCAUAAUGGUUGUUAUUGUUUCCCUCUGGGAUGUGUGGGUUGUACCCUCGCUCCCGUGCAGCCCUCGCUCCCAUGCAGCUGAAGAGUAUAAAUGUUUACACUUUUGGUUUCGGUUUUAGCCUGUAUAUACCCCACCCUGAAAAAUAAAUGGGGCUUUGCUACGGUAGAGCGUGAGCCUGGAACUAAGUUCGUGAAACUGCUCUCCUGUUGUUCCUCCCUCGGGUUGGGGACCUGCUGGCAGGAUUCUGACGUUGCGGCUCGCGACACUGAACUAAACAACUUCAGACAUCAACACAAUCACAGCUUGUGAAAACCAACAUUAUCAGCAACAUCACUAUGGACCUUUCAGACAUGGAAACCAGCC
rnacentral:lncRNA from 1 species